rnacentral:rRNA from 1 species
AUUGAACGCUGGCGGCAUGCUUUACACAUGCAAGUCGAACGGCAGCGCGGGCUUCGGCCUGGCGGCGAGUGGCGAACGGGUGAGUAAUGCAUCGGAACGUGCCCAGUAGUGGGGGUUAGCCCGGCGAAGGCGGGAUUAUUACGGCAAACGACCUGAGGGUGAAGGGGGGGGACCGAAGGGCCUUGGGCUCUUGGGGGGGCGGAUGUCGGAUUGGCUAGUUGGUGGGGUAAAGGCUUACCAAGGCGACGAUCCGUAGCUGGUCUGAGAGGACGACCAGCCACACUGGGACUGAGACACGGCCCAGACUCCUACGGGAGGCAGCAGUGGGGAAUUUUGGACAAAGGGGGCAACCCUGAUCCAGCCAUGCCGCGUGCGGGAAGAAGGCCUUCGGGUUGUAAACCGCUUUUGUUCGGGAAGAAAUCCUCUGGGCUAAUACCCCGGGGGGAUGACGGUACCGGAAGAAUAAGCACCGGCUAACUACGUG